rnacentral:rRNA from 1 species
UAAUACGGAGGAUGCGAGCGUUAUCCGGAUUUAUUGGGUUUAAAGGGUGCGUAGGCGGCGAGUUAAGUCAGCGGUAAAAGCCCGGGGCUCAACCCCGGCCCGCCGUUGAAACUGGCUGGCUUGAGUUGGGGAAAGGCAGGCGGAAUGCGCGGUGUAGCGGUGAAAUGCAUAGAUAUCGCGCAGAACCCCGAUUGCGAAGGCAGCCUGCCGGCCCCACACUGACGCUGAGGCACGAAAGCGUGGGUAUCGAACAGGAUUAGAUACCCUGGUAGUCCACGCAGUAAACGAUGAAUGCUUGCUGUCCGGGGGGAUUUGCCCCUGGGGGGCGCAGCGAAAGCGAUAAGCAUUCCACCUGGGGAGUACGCCGGCAACGGUG